AUUGAACGCUGGCGGCAUGCCUUACACAUGCAAGUCGAACGGUAACGGGCCUUCGGGUGCCGACGAGUGGCGAACGGGUGAGUAAUGUAUCGGAACGUACCUUUCAGUGGGGGAUAACGUAGCGAAAGUUACGCUAAUACCGCAUAUUCUGUGAGCAGGAAAGCAGGGGAUCGCAAGACCUUGCGCUGAUUGAGCGGCCGAUAUCAGACUAGCUAGUUGGUGAGGUAAAGGCUCACCAAGGCGACGAUCUGUAGCGGGUCUGAGAGGAUGAUCCGCCACACUGGAACUGGGACACGGUCCAGACUCCUACGGGAGGCAGCAGUGGGGAAUUUUGGACAAUGGGGGCAACCCUGAUCCAGCCAUGCCGCGUGAGUGAAGAGGGCCUUCGGGUUGUAAAGCUCUUUCGGCCGGGAAGAAAUCGUAUCAGCUAAUACCUGGUGCGGAUGACGGUACCGGCAUAAGAAGCACCGGCUAACUACGUGCCAGCCGCCGCUGUAACAC
rnacentral:rRNA from 1 species